rnacentral:rRNA from 1 species
UGGCAAACUGUUGUAGCACCAAAUGAGAAAACGGUAGGAAGCUUGCAGGUUGCUAGAGGGACUGCUGCAGCAAGUCAAAUAAGUCAUACUGUGCAGCAACAGUGGAAGCAGUAAAAGCAGACUAUGCAGCAAAAAAAAAGGCAGGCUUUUGCUGACCCAGAAACGAAAAGUUCCCACCUACCACCGGAAGCCGAAAUUACCCUGAAAAAUAGAGGAAACAUAGCACCAACAGCAAAAUGAACGUUCAACAAGCUUCAGGCCACGAACUGGACUCGUUCAUGCAGCAAAAUGUCCACAAAACAGCAAGGAAUUGGCUAUAGCAAACUGAAAGGGGAAAGUCCGACAGAAUUUAUUACUCACCGAUGGUAAAGGGGAACACACGGUGGGUAUGAGGACCCCGACCUCUAUUUACCCCGAAAAAAAGCAUUGUACACUUUGUGCGAACAACGCUCGUCAUCAUUUUGGCGUCAUCCCAUGCGGUCGACGGAGUCGAUGAGGAAUACUACCAGGUUGAUCCUGCCAAUAGUCAUAUGCUUAUCUCAAAGAUUAAGCUACACAUGUGCAAGUAUGAACUAAUUCAGACUGUGAAACUUCAAAUGGCUCAUUAAAUAAGUUACAGUUCAUUUGAUGGUACUUACUAGUCGGAUAACUGUAGUAAUUGUAGAGCUAAUACAUGCAACAAACCCCAACUUCUACAAGGGAUGCAUUUAUUAGAUAAAAGGUCGGCAAAAUUCUUGCUCUCUCUCAAUAUCUCUCUCAAUUCGAAAAUCCAGAAUUUGAAUUGAUGUCCUCUCAUUGAUUCCUCCUAAAUUGUAUUGAUUUAUCCUAAAGAUUUUAUUUCAAUUGGAAUUUGGUUAUUCACCAUGUACGAGGAUCCCUGCUAAGCAUCCAUGGCUGAAUGGUUAAAGCGCCCAACUCAUAAUUGGCGAAAUCGUAGGUUCAAUUCCUAUUGGAUGCACGCCAAUGGGACCCUCCAAUAAGUCUAUUGGAAUUGGCUCUGUAUCAAUGGAAUCUCAUCAUCCAUACAUAACGAAUUGGUGUGCUCUGCCCGUUGUUGCGUUGAUUCAUGAUAACUCGACAGAUCGAACGACCCUCGUGCCGGCGACACAUCAUUCAAAUUCCUGCCCUAUCAACUUUCGAUGGUAGGAUAGUGGCCUACUAUGGUUGUGACGGGUGACAGAGAAUUAGGGUUCGAUUUCGAAAAUGGAGCCUGAGAAACGGCUACCACAUCCAAGUAAGGCAGCAGGCGCGCAAUUUACCAAUCCUGACAUGGGGAGGUAGUGACAAUAAAUAACAAUACUGAGCUCUACGAGUCUUGUAAUUGGAAUGUGUACAAUCUAAAACAAAGCAUUGUGAUGGUCCCUGUGGAUGCUCACGCAAUGUUAUUUCUGCCCAGUGCUCUGAAUGUCAAAGUGAAGAAAUUCAACCAAGUGCGGGUAAAUGGAGGGAGGAACUAUGACUCUCUUAAGGUGGCCAAAUGCCUCGUCAUCUAAUUAGAGACGAGCAUGAAUGUAUUAACGAGAUUCCCAUUGUCCAUGUCUACUAUCCAGCGAAACCACAGCCAAGGGAAUGGGCUUGGUGGAAUCAGCGGGGAAAGAAGACCCUGUUGAGCUUGACUCUAGUCCGACUUUGUGAAAUCACUUAAGAGUUGUAGGAUAAGUGGGAGCCGAAAAGUGAAAGUGAAAUACCACUACUUUUAACGUUAUUUUACUUAUUUUGUGAAUCGGAGGCGGGGCAUCGCCCCUCCUUUUGGACCCAAGGCACGCUCUGACGGGCUGAUCUGGGCGGAAUACAUUGUCAGGUGGGGAGUUUAGUUGGGGUGGCACAUCUGUUAAAAGAUAACGUAGGUGUCCUAAGAUGAGCUCUACGAAAAUAGAAAUCUCGUGUGGAAUAGAAGGGUAAAUGCUCAUUUCUAUUCUGAUUUCCAGUAUAAAUACAUACCGUGAAAGCGUGGCCUAACGAUCAUUUAGACCUUUAAAAUUUGAAGCUAGACGUGUCAGAAAAAUUACCACAUGGAUAACUGGCUUUUGGCAACCAAACAUUCAUAGUGACUUUGCUAUUUCAUCCUUCGAUGUCGACUCUUUCUACCAUUGUGAAGCAUAAUUCACCAAGUAUUUGAUUGUUCACACACCAAUAGGGAACGUGAGCUGGGUUUAGACCAUCGUGAGAUAGAUUAGUUUUACCCGACUGAUGACGUCGUCGCAAUAGCAAUUAAACCUAGUACGAGAGGAACCAUUGAUUCGCACAAUUGGUCCUCGCGCUUGGUUGAAAAACCAGUGACGCAAAGCCACCAUGCGCCGGAUUAUGACUCAACGCUUCUAAGUUAAUAUUUGCGCUAAAAGCGACGCAUACGCCCACCGUCCGCUUGUCGACCCGCCAUAGGGGCCCCAGGGUCCCCAAGGGCACGUGUCGUUAGCCAAACCAUCGCGGAAGACGAGUCGCGCGCUGGCCGCCUUGAAAUACAAUCCCAUCAAGCGGCGGGUAGAAUCAUUUGCAAAUGACUUAGAU